rnacentral:misc_RNA from 1 species
ACAGUGCUCUUUGUAUGCAAAUACAAACUCACAAACCAACCAUGUGUGAACCGUUUUGACUACCAAAUGUGUGCGGGUACUCAGAGUUGACGCUCUGAGUAUGGCUGUGCACGUUUUUUACUUGACAAACCCUGUUUUUGAAGUACUGAAUAGUAAAGCUUAGUUGAAAAACUUGCA